GUUGAAGAACGCAGCGAAAUGCGAUAAGUAAUGUGAAUUGCAGAAUUCAGUGAAUCAUCGAAUCUUUGAACGCACAUUGCGCCCGCCAGUAUUCUGGCGGGCAUGCCUGUUCGAGCGUCAUUUCAACCAUCAAGCCCCAGGCUUGUGUUGGAGCCCUGCGGCUGCCGCAGCCUCCCAAAACCAGUGGCGGGCUCGCUAUCACACCGAGUGCAGUAGUUUACUCUUCGCUCAGGGCGUGUGGCGGGUGCUAGCCGUAAAACCCCCAACUUCUCAAGGUUGACCUCGGAUCAGGUAGGAAUACCCGCUGAACUUAAGCAUAUCAAUAAGCGGAGGA
rnacentral:misc_RNA from 1 species